CUCUCCCGGCUCCUCCCGCGCGGCGGCGACGAGGACAGGUUUUGACUCGCGUCGGGAGAAGCAAGGAGAAGGUGGAGCAGAACCGGGGGUACAGGCAUAUAACUCGAUCCGAGCCAGUGAGAGAUGAAGGAAAUGUGCUAGAGGCUUCUGAGAUGAAUUUUCUUCCUUGAUGAAAUGGAUCGAUGAGAAAAACUGCCAUUUUUUUCUGCCAUUGGAUGUGGUUGUGUAAGGACAUGAUAUUUAGAGCUAAGAAAGCUCUUCCGAACAUUAAUAUAUAAUUCUGAAGAAAAAAGUCAACCCACUGAUGAUGGCUAAGCAGAGAGCUAAAAGGCAUCAUUGAACUACUGUACUGACCCUGGGACUGGCCUUCCUCUGGAUUUCUGUUUAGUAAAAUAAUAAAUGUCUUUAUAGUUAAUAAUGUCUUUGUAA